AGACAACUUUGACGGGCAAACAAGAUUUUAUAAAUUGAGUAGAUGAGGUUCACGUUUCAGUUGCGAAAAUUACGGUGAAGACACCGUACAGGCUGCAUUACUGAGACCUGCAGUUCAUAACGUUUAUGCGGCAAUCAAACGCAGAAACAUUCGAGACCACACGCGCGCUUACACACCCAUUCACACACGCGCACGCACGCACGCACACACACACAGAGUAAAAAAGUUUUGGAGUCAAUAAAUGUCCAAAUAUGUCACACUGGCAAGUUGCAUUUACUUUGUGCAUUUGUGUAAAUUUUUCUGCGUUAAUAUGUGUCUCUACACAAAUUCACGGAUUCAACGAAAAUAAUGGCAGUAAUUAUACGCUACCUGCGUAUGCCAUUGCCUCAAAAGCCAAUCUUCUCAACUCGACAUGUGGAAAGGAGCUACAUGAUUUUCGAGACGCUAUUGAUCAACGAAUACUGUGGAGUUUGAAAAUGCUAGAUUCUAGCGGUGAACCUAAAUCAGGCUUUCUUUAUGGAAAUAAUUAUUGGCUAGGCAGUCGCAGCCAGUGUUACGAUACAAUGAAUAAAUAUCCUUUUGAACUCUCAAAACGAAAUUUAUUAAAUAAUUCACUAUACCGUGAUCGACAAAAAGAGUAUCCGCCUUUCAAAAUUAAUUACUUUGUUGCCCACUUUAAACACAAUAGUACUCUUCAGUACCACGUGGAAUUACCAAACGAAGAUUUAAUUGUACUUGGCCUUUGUUUACCAGCAUCAUGUUCUAUAAAUGAUCUAAGCGUUAUUCUGGAGAGAAUAUUUCAAGAUAGACUUCUCUUGAUUGGUAAUCUUUAUGCCAUGGAUUUCAGAUUGAUCGAAGUUAAAGAUCUAAAAGACGAUCAUCAAUGGUUAUUUAGUGGUGCGAUACCUCUCAUCAGUGUUAUUUUAAUGCUUACUAUUUGCGCGAUGAUAAUCGGAACUAUAUAUGAUGUUUUCGUGCAUCAAAAACAUUUAAAUGCAAAGAAUAAAACUCAUAAGAAAAAUAUACACGAACAAAUGGAAAUAACUACUUUGCCAUCGCAUCAAGAAAAUAAACUUGGAAAAAUACUAAUGUGUUUCUCCAUUUAUACAAAUACGAAAAUAAUAUUGAGUAUGAAAGUAGAAGGUGAUUCAAUACCUAUUAUUUACGGUUUAAAAUUGAUUUCCACGAUUUGGAUAAUCAGCAUUCACAUUGCUUUUUUCUCAAUUGAUUAUAUUGAUAAUAAAAUAUGGGCUCUCAGAUUAAGCGCCAGCUUGCCCAGUCAAGUAUUCACCAGUGCGACUUUAGCAGUUGAGACGUUUCUUUUUCUAAGUGGAUUUUUAAUGACCUACUCAUAUCUAAAGCAUGAAAAAGGUCAAGAAAAAACUAUACCGAUUCCCUACAAAGCGAAACUAAAUAAGUUCUUUUUUCUUAUAAUAAAAAGAUUUAUACGGUUAACACCCGCUUAUAUGAUGAUGAUUGGAAUAACACAAUUAAAUUGGUUUUGGUACGACAAAACAUCACAAUUUUACAUGAGUGACAAACUGCACGAACUUUGUGCGAAAUAUUGGUGGAGAAAUCUUUUGUAUAUUAAUAAUCUUUUCGAUUAUUCUACAAUGUGCAUGUCUUGGACUUGGUAUCUUGCCAUUGAUAUGCAAUUUUAUAUAAUCAGUGUUGGCCUAUUAAUUUUAUCUACUAUGUACUUUUACAUAGCUGUCGUCAUCUUGGGCAUUCUUUUAAUUGGCACAAUUGUGUUUUCUGGCUAUAUUUCAUAUGCAUACGAAUAUGUUCCGACAUUCGAUGAAAUGUUCAGACUUGCAAAUGUUUUAUAUCUUCCAUCAUGGAUCAGAAUAAGUUCAUAUCUUGUUGGAAUAAUUACGGGUUACAUUUUAGUAAAGCUAAACAAAAAAUUGAGCUUAAAUAAGCAAAUUCUAAUUUUAUGUUGGUUCCUUGGAAUUACUUGUAACAUUUCUGUGUUAUUCGGUCUUUAUAAGCGACAGAUAUCAGUUCUAUCUAGUGCUAUCUAUAUCGCAUUAAGCAAAAGUGCUUGGACCAUUGGUAUAGGAUGGAUUGUAAUAGCAUGCUCUACUAAAAACGGAGGCAUUAUUGAGAAAAUAUUAUCAUUCAGAGGCUUUAUCCCUCUUAGUAAACUCACGUAUUGCGCUUAUCUUAUACAUCCUUUUGUCAUACAAUCGGUUAACUUGUAUGCUGAAACAGCCAGCCAUGCAGAAAUACCGUACCUAGUUAAUAGGUUUUUUGGAUAUGUUGUGAUGUCUUUCGGAUGCAGUUAUAUAUUAACCUUAAUGGCAGAAAUGCCGUAUAUCUUGCUAAUGCAAAUGUAUACCCAAUCUCGCGGUGGAAAAAAACAUAGAGAAUUUGAAAUUGCAGUUUCGCAUACAAAAUUGUGACGGAAAUACUGUGUGUUAGCCGACACAUUAGUGUGCAUUGUUCAAUUCUAUUCAUUGGUAAACGAAAUGUGGACAAACGAGAUGUCGGCAAUCAAUACUGUAGGCAAUCAAUAUCAGCGGGAAUUGUCGGAAAACAAAGCCGCUCACGACUGUCUUCUCUAUCUGGUCAAGAUGCAUCGUGAAUUAUUCAUGGUUUCAUCAGACAUGUUGACGCAGUGCCACUUUAACUACAUGGAAGAGAGCAUUCCAGUGGCGUUGGAGGAAUUGGGUUCGGAAUUGAAGCAGGAUUGGAGGGGUUAUUCUAUAUGCU